rnacentral:rRNA from 1 species
CACGUAGGGCGCAAGCGUUGUCCGGAAUUAUUGGGCGUAAAGAGCUCGUAGGCGGUCUGUUGCGUCCGCUGUGAAAACUCGGGGCUUAACCCCGAGCCUGCAGUGGAUACGGGCAGACUAGAGGUAGGUAGGGGAGAAUGGAAUUCCCGGUGUAGCGGUGAAAUGCGCAGAUAUCGGGAGGAACACCGGUGGCGAAGGCGGCGCUCUGGACCGAGACUGACGCUGAGGCGCGAAAGCGUGGGGAGCAAACAGG